GACGAACCGUGCGAACGUUGUUCGGAAUCACUGGGCUUAAAGGGCGCGUAGGCGGGCCAUCAAGUCAGGGGGUGAAAGCCCCCAGCUCAACUGGGGAAGUGCCUCUGAUACUGGUGGCCUCGAGGGAGGUAGGGGCGUGCGGAACUUCCGGUGGAGCGGUGAAAUGCGUAGAUAUCGGAAGGAACACCGGUGGCGAAAGCGGCGCGCUGGACCUCUUCUGACGCUGAGGCGCGAAAGCCAGGGGGAGCGAACGGG
rnacentral:rRNA from 1 species